AAUAAAUUCCUUUUGGCAAACGUUACUCAAAAUUUAUCGUUUGGAUUUUUGCAAUGUGCUUAUAAUGAAGUCUUAUAUAUAAAAUAUAACUUAAGACCACAGUUUAAUUUCGUAUAUUAAACUGAAGAGACGCUAUAGCGUUAAAUAAAAUAUGAAAAAUAUAUAAAAUUUCUAAUUAAAUGGUAUAUAAUAAUCAGUGCUAUUAAAAUGAAAAAGUGAGUUGAUGUGCAUAUAUAUAUAUAAAAAAAGUAUCACAAAUAUGGGAGACAAUUAGUUACAAUUAUUAAGAGUUCUUGAUAUUCAAAAAUCAAGAAAAUAAUGACAUAUGGUUUUGAUGUAACCAGAACACGUACUGUGCUCAUGAAACUUGCCUUUUGUAAAAACCGGAGGUCUCGCGGUAUGAAUACUUGACUUUGUUCCUUAGAUGUUAACCGGCUACUGGAAAGAGUGUUGGAAUAGCGACGGCGGGAUCUAAUCAGAGACAAGCUAUUUUGUACAGGUAUUGGAUUCUUUUUGCGUAGUGGAAAAGUGAAAGAAUUUUACAUUAUAUUAGUUAGUCUUCUUCUAAUGAGAUGCAGCAACAAUGACGAUUCCAGAAAUUAUGGAACUUUACUUACAGAGAUUGUGAUUAAAUUUUUGUGACUUUUACUGAAUCGCGUAAAAAUUUCAAAAGUUUAAACUCAGUUGUGCCAGUUGUAGUAAAGGGGCCCUUGUGAGAACUAAAGUCUAAUUUCUGUUUUAACUUGGACAUCUAAUUUAUUAGAACGUAUCUGAAGCGUUGAAUUAUUAAAGUGAUAACCGAAUGAAGUUGGGGUCAUUGUAUCGAAACAAACGUAAGUGGCAUUAGGAGACAGUGAAGUAAAUUUUGAUACAUGAUGAACUCUGCUUUCAAAACAAAAUCGAAAGAGAGACAACCAACAAACUGUGUAAUUUGACUAACUUUUCUUCAUUUAUUUAAUCCUGUCAGUAAUCCGAUAUUCUGAAUUAAUUGAAGGCUUGAGAAUUUUAGUAUAGUUCUCUACUGAAGCAGAGUUUAUAAUAAGCUACUACUGUUGUAUCUAUGGUAAUAUAGACUAUAUUUUCUUAAUGUUUGUACUACAAAAAUUUGGCAAAUUUUUAUUAAAAUCAGUGGAAUAACAA